rnacentral:siRNA from 1 species
UCUCGUAGUUUAUGCAACCGCGGU